ACCACUAACAUGCUUUGAAUUAACAACUCAAGUUGAGUUAGGAAACUUGCACAAUAAUUAGAAGUUCAAGUUUAGGAACUUGCCUGUACCGUUGAUUACCGCUAAGCAAUCAAUUUAAUCUCUUAUAAAAGACCUAUCAUUAAUAAGAUCGAUCCUCCAAUUAGCAUAAUACAUUUUAUCCCACAACACUAUUACUCAAAUAAUAAAUUAGCUAACAUUUAGCCACAUAAUUAAACAUUAAAUAAUUCUUUAACUCAUUAGUAAUAUUAUUAUCCCUUAAUAAUAUUACUAUCACUUAUCCAUUAUCUUAAACUUUUGCCUAAUAUUCUUUUUAUAGAAUAUUUAUCAUUUACAAAUAUUAUUAAUCAUUUAAUAAUAUUUAAAUCCUUUACUAAUAUUAUUAAUCAUUUAAUAAUAUUGUAAUCACCUUCUAAUAUUAUUAAUCAUGUAAUAAUAUUUUACUUGUUUCAUAAAUAAUAAAGGUCUCACACAUUUUAAGAUGCAAAUAUUUUACACCUUGAAACUUAAACCAUUUAAAUUUCAUUUUAGAAAUAUCUUUUACCUCUACUCGCAAAUUCGGAGUUUAAACAGCUAAUGUAUAGCUUUUAUAGUAAAAAUCAAUUUACUAUAUUAUUUCUUCACUUUAAAUAACUUUUACUUCAGUUUGUCCGUUCAUGAGUCAACACUGACUAUUGCCUCAUAUAUAAACAUUUUAUCUCACUAGCACAUUCGCUUUAUUUUUCAUUUUACGAUUAUUCGCAUUUUUGCUUCGUUACGUAAAUCUCAGCUCAAAAACUUCAUUUUGAGCACCGAAAACCUCAAAAUAUCAUUUUUAUGAUUAAUACAAUAUUUCAAAGGUUUUACAUUCUUUGUUCCACCACAAAAUAAUUUUUAUAGGCAACUAUAUAAAUAUAUAUAUAUUUUUCGCUUAAAUAUGUAAUUUAUAUUUAUUACAUAUUUUUAUUGCUUUAUUUAUGCCUGAAAGAAAGUUUCUCGGCAUAAAAUAUUACUUAUAGUCAAAUUUCGCACCGUAAGACUUUAUUAUUUCUCUAUCAUAUGCCCAAACACAUAAUAUACUUCAUUGAAUAUCAAUUUCAACAAUUACAUUGAAAACUAUCAUAAAUUUCUUAUUAAAUCUCCUGUCAAAUAUUAUUAAUUAUGUAAUAAUAUUUUACGCUAAGGUUAUCAACCUUUUAAUUACAUUUCAAUCAAAUACUACUAAUAAUAUCUCACUACAAUACUAUUAGUCAUAUAAAAAAAUAUCUUAAGUCAUUAAUCACUUAAAUAAACAAUUAUUUCAAUUGUUUUCCUUCCCGUAAUUAAUAAACUUGUUUAAACAUUUUAAAAUGUCAUAAACAUCACAACACCUUAAACCCGACCCAAAACUUCAUUACAAACUUGCAUACGCCAUGCUCACGGGUCUCACUUCAUACAUCGCAUUUUUCCUAUUUUUUGACACUUUUGAUUUUUUUGAAAUUUUUAUCCAGCCUCACUAAAACAGCCAUAACUCUCGCGUUUUAAAACAUUUUGGAGCGAUUCUUGAGCCCACGCGAAGAUAACUUCCAGGGCUACAACUUUUGUCUCACGACAGUUUUCCAAAAUCAUAACACAUCAGUCCAGAAAUUUACACAAAGGUGGCUGUUCGGAAUUUGAUUAACAGUUUUGAUACACAUCUCCCGAACGCCAUAACUACCUCAUCCGGAAUCGGAAUUAGUCCGUUCCGGAGUCUAUGGAAAGCUAAAUCAGAGUACUACAACAUACCAAAAGCCCAGAAUUUUUAAAGCACAAAAACUGGACGAAAUUUCCCCUGACAUUGGCUGCCCCGAAACUGUCCAUUUUUGGUUAUAAAAAACGGAACUGUUUUCACCAAAUCAGUCACUACCCCAUGUAAACUCAACAUUUUUGAGUCCUACCCCUUGGGUUUACUAGCCAACACAUAUAUCUAGCACUACUUUUUGACGGAUCACAAAAAGAAGUCAUAGAUUUAAAACGGUGAAGUUUCAAAGUACUAGGAAAUUUCGGAUUCAAAACUAGAAAAUAAAUUUUCUUUAUUCUUUUGAUUCACCCAAAUCAACAUCAAAAAUGAGUAAAUUCAUACAUAAAUCCAUAUAUAUCACAUAGAUCUUAGGGUUUUAAACACCCAAAUCAAAAACCCUCAUCAUCAAUUUCAUAAAAAAAAAAAUUAGAGAGAGAUUAUACCUUUGCUUCAUCUUUCUUUUUUCUUCCAUGGAGAUCUUCCACUCCAUCUCACACAUGGGGGCUGCCGCCCCUCUCCUCCAUCUUCCAUGGCUCUCCCGAUCUCUCUCUUUCUCUUCCUUCUUUUUCUUCUUUCUUUUCUCUUUCUCUUACUUAUUCUUCUUUCCUUCUCUCUUUCUUAUCUCUUCUCUCUAUUUUUUUUUAUCCGGCCAUAUGGC
rnacentral:lncRNA from 1 species